rnacentral:rRNA from 1 species
GCAUGAAGUUGGAAUUGCUAGUAAUCGCGGAUCAGCAUGCCGCGGUGAAUACGUUCCCGGGGAUUGUACACACCGCCCGUCACACCAUGAGAGUCGGGAACACCCAAAGUCCGUAGUCUAACCGCAAGGAGGACGCGGCCUAAGGUGGGUUCGAUAAUUGGGUGAAGUCGUAACAAGGUAAC